CCCCGUACGAACUACUGUUUGACUAGCCUUGCCACUCAUUCCGAUUUCACAGUCAUUGAUCAUCGCCCCCCCCGUACGAACUACUGUUUGACUAGCCUUGCCACUCAUUCCUAUUAGCCGGACUGGACGAGCUGAUCACUCGGAGUCGCGGGUGGAAAAAAAACAGAAAAUUCAACCCCUUGAUGGCAAUGUUGAUGGUAAUCACGCGGGACGCGUGAAAGUCAGGAAGGGCCGUAUAAGAACAGCGAGAAGGCAUCCCGGUUCGGGCCCCGUUGUUAUGCUAAGGCGCGACAUCGGGGAACCACGAAAACUAUCAACAAUUAGCCAGAAAGGGAAAACAAAUAGAGAACAGAACGGUUGUGCUAGCGAAG